GUGGGGAAUAUUGGACAAUGGGCGAAAGCCUGAUCCAGCCAUGCCGCGUGUGUGAAGAAGGUCUUCGGAUUGUAAAGCACUUUAAGUUGGGAGGAAGGGCAGUAAGUUAAUACCUUGCUGUUUUGACGUUACCGACAGAAUAAGCACCGGCUAACUUCGUGUCAGCAGCCGCGGUAAUACGAAGGGUGCAAGCGUUAAUCGGAAUUACUGGGCGUAAAGCGCGCGUAGGUGGUUUUGUAAGUUGGAGGUGAAAUCCCCGGGCUCAACCUGGGAACUGCCUCCAAAACUGCAUGACUAGAGUACGGUAGAGGGUAGUGGAAUUUCCUGUGUAGCGGUGAAAUGCGUAGAUAUAGGAAGGAACACCAGUGGCGAAGGCGACCACCUGGACUGAUACUGACACUGAGGUGCGAAAGCGUGGGGAGCAAACAGGAUUAGAAACCCUGGUAGUCC
rnacentral:rRNA from 1 species